UACGGAGGGUGCAAGCGUUAGUCGGAAUUACUGGGCGUAAAGGGUGCGUAGGCGGGAAUGUAAGUCAUAUGUGAAAUACCGAAGCUCAACUUCGGCUGUGCAUCUGAAACUGCGUUUCUAGAGGAAGAGCGGAGAAAACGGAAUUCCACAAGUAGCGGUGAAAUGCGUAGAUAUGUGGAAGAACACCUGUGGCGAAAGCGGUUUUCUAGCUUAUUCCUGACGCUGAGGCACGAAAGCAAGGGGAGCAAACAGG
rnacentral:rRNA from 2 species